AGAGUUUGAUCCUGGCUCAGAACGAACGCUGGCGGCGUGCCUAACACAUGCAAGUCGUACGAGAAAUCCUGGGCAACUGGGAAAGUAAAGUGGCGCACGGGUGAGUAACGCGUGGGUAACCUGCCCUUGGAUUCGGGAUAACUCCGCGAAAGCGGGGUUAAUACCGGAUGAUAUUCCGAUUCCUAAGGGGAUUGGAAUCAAAGGUGGCCUCUGCAUGCAAGCUAUCGUCUAAGGAUGGGCCCGCGUACCAUUAGCUAGUUGGUAGAGUAACGGCCUACCAAGGCAACGAUGGUUAGCUGGUCUUAGAGGAUGGCCAGCCACACUGGAACUGAGACACGGUCCAGACUCCUACGGGAGGCAGCAGUGGGGAAUCUUGCGCAAUGGGGGAAACCUUGACGCAGCAACGCCGCGUGGGUGAUGAAGGCCUUCGGGUCGUAAAGCCCUGUCAGGUGGGAAGAAAAAUAUCGGUGUUAAUACCACCGAUGUUUGACGGUACCGCCGGAGGAAGCACCGGCUAACUCCGUGCCAGCAGCCGCGGUAAUACGGAGGGUGCAAGCGUUGUUCGGAAUUACUGGGCGUAAAGCGCGUGUAGGCGGUCGGGCAAGUCAGAUGUGAAAGCCUUCCGCUUAACGGAAGAAGUGCAUUUGAAACUAUCCGGCUGGAGUACGGGAGAGGAGAGUGGAAUUCCCGGUGUAGAGGUGAAAUUCGUAGAUAUCGGGAGGAACACCAGUGGCGAAGGCGGCUCUCUGGUCCGAUACUGACGCUGAGACGCGAAAGCGUGGGGGAGCAAACAGGAUUAG
rnacentral:rRNA from 1 species